UGAGCCAUCAAAGAAUGUCAUUAAAAACUGUCAUUGCCUGUCAACAGCACGUGUGAAUCCUGCUCGCAGCCUUCUUCUUUGGGUGAGCACGUCUUGCUUGACAACCCUGACUCUUACAUUGGAUCUGAAGGAUUUAACACACAGUUUCUUUCCUGGACUAAAUGACGAACACCUGCUUUCUGGAUUAAACCUGUAAUUCUGCUAAUAAUCUAUUUAAUACUAUUAGGAAUAGCCAUGUCAAUUGAGCAGGUUAUUUUUAAACCAUUGAAAAUGGUGCCUGUCUGCUGGAGUAGUUUGGGAAAGAUGAAUGUAAACACCGGAAGACAUGUGGAUGGAGAGUUGCAGAAGUCUUUAGCGAUAUCUACUGGACAGGGUGGGAGUUGCAGGUCAGAUGAUGGAUGAUGAGGAGAGGAGCAUGGUUUCUUCAGGGGAAUGUUACCACGUUUCCAUUUAAUGCAAGCCACUGUGAAGCUGACACAUUUUUCAGUAAGUAAUGCUAUUCGUAUGUGAUUUAAAACAGAGGGUGAGCGGUAACUGCAUGCUAAUUAACUUAACCAAUAUGUUGAUAUAGAUUUAGUGUAAAAGCAGGUUUUACUCAGAAAUUACAAAUCAACCAUAAGUAGCACAAUCAAUUAAAAUUAACUAAGGAUUGCCCAGCCUGAUCUCAAGAGGAAACACAACUUUGGUCUUUAAUCCAUCUUCCCAUUCU